rnacentral:rRNA from 1 species
UACGAGCGCCUCAAGCGUUAUCCGGAAUUAUUGGGCGUAAAGGGUGUGUAGGCGGACGUGUUAGUCCUGUGUGAAAGCCUGUCGCUUAACGACAGAUCCGCAUGGGAAACGGCACGACUAAGAGGGUGCAAGAGGUGAAUGGAACUCACGGUGUAGGGGUGAAAUUCGUAGAUAUUAGGAAGAACACCGGUGGCGAAGGCGGCCCACUGGAUCGGUACUGACGCUGAGGUGCGAAAGCGUGGGGAGCAAACAGG